rnacentral:rRNA from 1 species
CGUACGCGAGACGGGUGAGUAACGCGUGGGUAACCUGCCUCAUACAGGGGGAUAACAGUUAGAAAUGACUGCUAAUACCGCAUAAGCGCACAGGACCGCAUGGUCCGGUGUGAAAAACUCCGGUGGUAUGAGAUGGACCCGCGUCUGAUUAGCUGGUUGGCGGGGUAACGGCCCACCAAGGCGACGAUCAGUAGCCGACCUGAGAGGGUGGCCGGCCACAUUGGGACUGAGACACGGCCCAAACUCCUACGGGAGGCAGCAG